CCUACGGGGGGCAGCAGUGGGGAAUAUUGCGCAAUGGGGGAAACCCUGACGCAGCAACGCCGCGUGAGUGAGGAAGGACUUCGGUCUGUAAAGCUCUGUUAAUGAGGAAAUGGUACUCAUAGAGGAAGCACCGGCUAACUUCGUGCCAGCAGCCGCGGUAAUACGAAGGGUGCAAGCGUUGUUCGGAUUUAUUGGGCGUAAAGCGCGCGUAGGCGGACCUGCAAGUAAGAUGUGAAAUCUCGAGGCUCAACCUCGAAACUGCGUCUUAAACUACAGGUCUAGAAUCUCGGAGGGGGAAGGGGAAUUUCGCAUGUAGGGGUAAAAUCCGUAGAUAUGCGAAGGAACACCAGAGGCGAAGGCGCCUUCCUGGACGAGAUUGACGCUGAGGCGCGAAAGCGUGGGGAUCAAACAGGAUUAGAUACCCUUGUAGUC
rnacentral:rRNA from 1 species